CUCUCUUCUUUGGCAUUUUCUACCCUUGUGUUACCCAGCGGGCAGACAGCUCUCCUGUCCCUCCCCAGGGGAACACACCCAGCUGCGUAGUGCAGAGCCGUCCUUUAUCACGCCUGCCGCCCCUCUCCUGCGACCCUCUGUUUUGUGUAGAGGUGAAGGUGGCCUGACUUUACAAGUAAGGCUAAGAUCCCAGGUUGCCACCCUGCAGAGGAAUGUCUGCUCCAGCCAGCUUUCUGGAGAUGGCAGCCUCUGCUCGACCGAAGCAGUGAGAAGAUGGGGGCAGGAAGCAGGAGAGUUACGCCAGCCCUGCAGACCUGGCCAGGAGACACAAAGGUGCAGCUUGGGGCAAAGUCCCUGGAUACAGAGCGCCUCUUCUCCCACGAGUCCAGGAAGCCUCUUCUGAUCCCGAGCGUGGAAUCUCUGGGGACUCGGGAUCCAGGGAUCUGCUCCCAACCCCCCUGCAAGGUCAGCAGGUCGUCCUGAGCAGAGACAGCCCAACGGGCUGGCUGUGACCCUGCAGCGCUGCACCCCCCCUGGGU
rnacentral:lncRNA from 1 species